CUACAAACUAGUGGACAUAGAAUGUUCUUGCAUGAUUUUUUUUCUUUAUUCUUUUUUCAGGUGUGUUGCUACCUCUAAGGCCACGGAAGGGCUCGAAGUCUCUCCCAGAUGGCAGAGAGGAAGAAGAGAAGCAGGCUUAAGAAAGCAACCCAAUGAAGAAAUUUGAAACGAUUGAGAUCGGGCCUGUGGGGAAAGCAGGCUGCCGCCUUGAAAGGGGUGCCGUCCCUUGGGGAAUCACAGCCCAGGGACACGGAAGUGGCCAGCCCAGGCCGGGCAGAAGGGGAGCAGAAGACCUGCUACGACACAGUUCCACAGCGGCCUCAGCACCCACCCGCCCUCUCUCCUCAUCAAUUCGCAGUCCCAGCUUCUGCACCAAGUCUCAGCUUUCCCGAGAAGCAGCUUUGGGUGUUUUAGCAAUCGUUUUGGGGCCUCCUCUGACUGCUGUCAGAAGCUGUUGGUGGUGCAAGAGAAAGGAGCCAGCAUGUUCACCUGCCCAGUUGCGGAAGUGUGGGCUGAUGCUACAGGCAGUGAGCUUUAAGAACUGCAGAUUUUAUAUUUUUCUGAACACCCAGCAUCACAGAGCAGGGGCGCGAGAGGACACAGCAGAGCAAACGAGGCUGGAGAAAAUAGGAUGCAAACCUUCUUAUUUGAGGUAAUUUUUUAACCAUUUUAUAAAUACAUCAAUGUUCCUAUCACUACAAGAUGGAACAAUAAAUAAUUGAAAUAAAUAAAUAACUAAUAACAGAAUCACAAUUUAGUGAGGAAAACACAAACCCUACAACCAUUUGGGAAAUUCUGUGUAUUCCAUCAACUCUAACCCCAACUGGACAUGUGACCCAAGCCAUUCUCCUUUGCUCAUCUGCGGAUUCGUUUGUUUUCAGUUAUUACAACCAAGUACCCGAGUCAGGCUGCUUUAUAAAGAAAAGAGGUUUAUUUAGUUCACAGUACUGAAGAUUCAAGGGCAUGGAUGGUAUUGGCAUCAGCCCAGCUCUGCUGAAAUUCUCAUGAUGGGUGGCAUCCUGGUGCAGGAAGAGUCUAGGGAAAGGAGAGAGGUUGGACAGGACAAGAAGCCAGCAUGACGGGGGCCCAAGAGUUAGGAGCAGACCCCAGGACCUAAGGACCUUCCCCUCGUGCCCUGCCUCUUAAAGGGCCCAGCACCUCUUACCUUGCUGUGAACUGAGUCUCCAAUAGGUGAGCCCACGGGGCACCCUUCAAUCACACCCAAGCCGUGGCCUCUCUACCAGUAAAAAUAGAAACCAUUUAUUCAUAAUUUCAGGUGAGAUGAUCGAUUACACCUUUUAAAAUUAGAGACUAAGAUAAUUCAGCUCAAUAAAGAUUCUGAAAUUGCACCUGUGCUAGAUUCUUCAUGAGGACUGUGUGUGCCUGCGUGCAGUCUAGUAAAUCACGAAGCAAAACAAAUCAGAAGAAGGAAGGUAGAAUUAAAAUUGGAUCCAACUGGAUUCGUGCCAGCUGAGGGCUGCAGCAGGGGACCUGCCCAGGCGAGGAAGGGGUGACAGCUGGGCGGAACGGUGACAAGCAUGAGGGGCUCCCCGCCGCCGGGACGGCAGCCUAGGGUUGGGGCCUGAAGCUGUGGAGAGCAGCAUGCGUUGGGGCAACCAAAAGACAUGCAGCGUGGUUACAGCUGAAAGCCAGAGUGGUGUGAGGCCCAGUGCUGCCUGCCUCCUCCAUCCCAAUUCGAGGCCAGCCUGGGCAGUUUAGCAAGACUUUGUCUCAAAAUAAAAAAGCAAACGGGCCCGGGAGGAGCCCAGCAGUAGAGCAGUUUGCCUCAUAUGUGCACAGCCUGGGUUCCAGCACCAGGGCCGACACCGUAGAUGAGCUUGGGUACAGAGUGGGCAGCCGGAUGCGGCUCAGGAGGUCCGUUUAGGGCUGGAGCAGAGCACGCUGGCGAAGGGCUUGCGAGGGUCCACGGCCAGCUUUGGGCCGCUGCAAUGGCUCCGUGGGGGCCGGGGGGGGGCGGUGGUGAAGGAGAGAAGCAGGCAGAAGGGUGAGUGUCCGGACCGGGAGAACAGCUCCAGUUCCUGGAAGGAUGGUGCUGUCAUGUCCUGAUGGGAAAUCUGAGGGGCGGGGGUGCUGUCCAGUGGCCAGCUGGGUGUUUGUGUCACUAAAUAAAUAAUGAGAGCUAAAAAAUACAAUUGUGAUCCAGGUGUGGUGGCACCUGCCUGUGAUCCAGCACUGGAGAGGCUGAGGCAGGAGGAUCAUUGCAAGUUUGAGGCCAGCCUGAGCUACACAGGGAGUUCAAGGCCAACCUGAACUAUGCAGCAAGGAAAAAAAAAAAAAAAAAAAAAAAAAACGAACUGGANNNNNNNNNNNNNNNNNNNNNNNNNNGAGAAGCCCUUCAGGCCUAAAAGAGAGCAAAGAAAAAAAAAAAAAAAAAAAAAAAAAAAGGAACUGGGAGUGUCCCUGCGCCAGGAUCAGAGCUAAAGGGACCUCAGGAGAGGUUUAGUGCGAGAAAAGGGAAUGAUCUUUAGAAAUUCUAGCCUUUGAGGUUUAGAGAGGGGAGAAUGGAGCUGGGAAGGAGCCAAAACAUAGUCCUGACUGCAACUCCAGCUUUCCAAAGUUUGGGAUACCUCUGUUUCCUUUGCUGGCAGAAAAACAUUAUUUCACAUUCUCAAAGCUUUGAAAUCUGAAUCAAAACAAAUCUAGAUGGUCCCUCGUGGUUGUAAAACUUUUAGCUGCACAGUGCUGUGUUGCUUUACAAACCCAUAGACCACGUCCCUCCCCUAUUUAAAAUCAUUCCGAGUUACCUUGUCAUUUUUUUAAUUCCCAUUUUUUCAGUUACAGUGAGGCUGGGCACCUUUUCCUUUCCUUGUGCAAGUAGGUAGGUGGGAGCCAGCAGCAGUCACAGG
rnacentral:lncRNA from 1 species